UAUCUUGUCACUUUCUUAUUGCUGUGAACUAAUUAUAGUCCACUGGGUCUGCCCCUGAUUGACCAGUUCAACGGCCUUUUACGUGUCGACUAAAAGAAAGUUGUCGUAUAGGGUUCGGUACCCGGCGCCUCCACCAAAAACCGGCGGUCUUAAAGGCCGGCUUUUGAUGGGGGCGAAACAGGAUCGACAAGGGUGUAAAGAUCGUCUUUUUGCUCGGCAUUGUACCGCCGUUAUCGGGCUAAAAUUGUAGUUGCAAACGACAACUAUGCGGAAGCUCGUCUCGCUGCUUAAUCGCGGUGUGACACUUCAAUCAAAGUCCUAGUGGUUCGCACCUCUAGGCGGGGUCCGAAGGCACCUGACAACAGAAGCCUUCACC
rnacentral:tmRNA from 1 species